rfam:Brassica oleracea var. oleracea cultivar TO1000 chromosome C9, whole genome shotgun sequence
GGAAUAUAAGAACCCGAUUCUUAAUUUUUAACUGAAAAUGCUAAGAGUCGGCUCAUAUUUAAGAGCUCGGCUCAUAUUUAAGAGCCGCCUCUUAACUUUUUCAGUUAAAAGUUAAGAGUCGGAUUCUUAUAUUCU